CGCUGGCGGCGUCCUUAAACAUGCAAGUCGAGCGGUAAGGCCCUUCGGGGUACACGAGCGGCGAACGGGUGAGUAACACGUGAGCAACCUGCCCCUGACUCUGGGAUAAGCGGUGGAAACGCCGUCUAAUACCGGAUACGACCCACCACCUCAUGGUGGAGGGUGGAAAGUUUUAUCGGUCAGGGAUGGGCUCGCGGCCUAUCAGCUUGUUGGUGGGGUAACGGCCUACCAAGGCGAUUACGGGUAGCCGGCCUGAGAGGGCGACCGGCCACACUGGGACUGAGACACGGCCCAGACUCCUGCGGGAGGCAGCAGUGGGGAAUAUUGCACAAUGGGCGAAAGCCUGAUGCAGCGACGCCGCGUGGGGGAUGACGGCCUUCGGGUUGUAAACCUCUUUUACCACCAACGCAGGCUCCACGUUCUCGUGGGGUUGACGGUAGGUGGGGAAUAAGGACCGGCUAACUACGUGCCAGCAGCCGCGGUAAUACGUAGGGUCCGAGCGUUGUCCGGAAUUAUUGGGCGUAAAGAGCUCGUAGGCGGCAUGUCGCGUCUGCUGUGAAAGACCGGGGCUUAACUCCGGUUCUGCAGUGGAUACGGGCAUGCUAGAGGUAGGUAGGGGAGACUGGAAUUCCUGGUGUAGCGGUGAAAUGCGCAGAUAUCAGGAGGAACACCGGUGGCGAAGGCGGGUCUCUGGGCCUUACCUGACGCUGAGGAGCGAAAGCAUGGGGAGCGAACAGGAUUAGAUACCCUGGUAGUCCAUGCCGUAAACGUUGGGCGCUAGGUGUGGGGACUUUCCACGG
rnacentral:rRNA from 1 species